UGGGGAAUAUUGCACAAUGGGCGCAAGCCUGAUGCAGCCAUGCCGCGUGUGUGAAGAAGGCCUUCGGGUUGUAAAGCACUUUCAGCGAGGAGGAAGGGUAGUGUGUUAAUAGCACAUUGCAUUGACGUUACUCGCAGAAGAAGCACCGGCUAACUCCGUGCCAGCAGCCGCGGUAAUACGGAGGGUGCAAGCGUUAAUCGGAAUUACUGGGCGUAAAGCGCACGCAGGCGGUUUGUUAAGUCAGAUGUGAAAUCCCCGCGCUUAACGUGGGAACUGCAUUUGAAACUGGCAAGCUAGAGUCUUGUAGAGGGGGGUAGAAUUCCAGGUGUAGCGGUGAAAUGCGU
rnacentral:rRNA from 1 species